CCUACGGGUGGCAGCAGUGGGGAAUAUUGGACAAUGGGGGCAACCCUGAUCCAGCCAUGCCGCGUGUGUGAAGAAGGCCAUCGGGUUGUAAAGCACUUUCAGUGAGGAAGAACGCCUGGUGGUUAAUACCCAUCAGGAAAGACAUCACUCACAGAAGAAGCACCGGCUAACUCCGUGCCAGCAGCCGCGGUAAUACGGAGGGUGCGAGCGUUAAUCGGAAUUACUGGGCGUAAAGCGCGCGUAGGUGGCUUGAUAAGCCGGUUGUGAAAGCCCCGGGCUCAACCUGGGAACGGCAUCCGGAACUGUCAAGCUAGAGUGCAGGAGAGGAAGGUAGAAUUCCCGGUGUAGCGGUGAAAUGCGUAGAGAUCGGGAGGAAUACCAGUGGCGAAGGCGGCCUUCUGGACUGACACUGACACUGAGGUGCGAAAGCGUGGGUAGCAAACAGGAUUAGAUACCCUAGAAGUC
rnacentral:rRNA from 1 species